ensembl:lncRNA
AUUCAGCCUUCGGGUCAGACGGGCUUCAGGAGGGGAGCUGAGUUUGUGGCAGGAAGGAGCAGCACCCAGAGGCAUUAGGUCAUGGAGCCACAACGUGUGUUCAGCAUCUAGCAUGUAGAACGAUUUAACAGAUAACUACAGCAUGCGUCGGAGAAGGCACUUAUUAUACCUGGUUGCAGCUGAAUACAGAUAUUGACAGAGACGUCUGAGAGGAGAAACCAAGAUCGUUUAUAUGUCUAUUUGCUCCAAGAGCCAGGCCUGCAGAUAUGAAGAUGAGUCACCGUUCCAGCAGUGUCAGUGAUGUGACUGAUACUACAUGUGUCAGAAACCAUAUUCACAGUUUUACUAGUACACUUUGAAUCAGGAAUCCAGCUGGGAAAUAAUUCCCAAACCUAUGUCGCCGGACAUUGUUAAAUACGCUCCCAUGAUCAGAUUCUUCAUCAACAGGAGUCUCCAUUCUGAAAUAUCAUGAUAUCCCUUAAACAUGGAAUCCAAAAAGAAAUGAAACAAAUGAACGAGACCGAAACAGACUCAGAUGUAGAGAACCAGCUUAUGGUUGCCAGGGGGAAGGGCUGGGGGAAGAGACAGUUAGGGAAUUGGGGAUAGACAUGUGUGCACUGCUAUAUUUAAUAUGGAUAACCAACAAGGACCUAUUGUCCAGAGCACAGGGAACUCUGUUCAAUGUUAUAUGGCAGCCUGGAGGGGAGGGUUGUUUGGGAGAGAAUUGAUAGCUGUGUAUGUAUGACUGAGUCCCUUUGCUGUUCAUUUGAAACAAUCACAGCAUUGUUAAUCAUCUGUAUUCCAAUAUAAAAUAAUUUUUUUUAAAAAAGACUUGAAAAAAAAAUAGGAAUCUGUAUUCUCUAUGCCCCUAAGUCCAUAAACCACACUGUCUACAUGAAAUAGAGUGAGUUUUCAUCAGAGUUCCAUUUUUGGGUGGGCUUUUCAUCCUGAGCCUUAUCUGGCAGGACUUUAUCAGUUGAAGAGGGACAUUCAUUUUGUCAUGCUAUGUGCCAAUCUAAAACAUCACUGCACAUAAAACCAUAUACAAUGUAUUCCGUGCUUCCAGAGAGAGAUAAGGAAACUGCAGUUUGGAGAGACGGUCAUGUGCUAGCACUUGACGGAAAUGGAGGAGAAUCAAGAUUCGGGACAAAGAGUCCCCUUUAGCUUGGUGAUGCGUGGACUUGACUGAUAAGUCAAGAGCACAGGACAGAAGAGCUGAGAGGGGACACUGGGCACGUUUGCCAGAAGGAGGAGCAAGGCAAGUGCUGACUCAGAUGUGGACUGAAGACACUGAGUCCAGCCAACGUACGCUGGAGAGGGGGACACAGCGAGAAAGCAAUACGCUCCCCAAAGCUGAUAAAGCGCCGUGCAGAGAAGUCAGUCUGGAGCCUGGGUCUGUGCGUCUCAACACCAUCAGCUUCUGACAGCAUGCGUGGCUCUGAGGGGCACUUCAUAGCAUUUGCUGGGAAAUAAUACACCGCAGAUGAGUCCCAGGGCAGCUGAAUUGCCAGGACAUCUAGAUCAGAGUGUUUUCCCGAUAAAAGCAGGGCACUUUCAUUUUCAAGGCUUUCCCCACCAUGGAAGUCCGGCUGACACACUAGGUGACGAUCACCCAAUACAGCAGCUAUUACUACCGCACUCGUCUUCAGUGUUUUUAUUUUGCUUUUCUUUUCACCAAAAAUUGAAAGCAAACUCCCCAAAGGUUGACCUCAAUGAUUCUUUCCCUCUCUUUCCUUUGAUUCAUGCAGAACAUUCAGUGUGUGUGUGGGGCGGGGCAGGGGGGGGGGGAUUGUUUUCCGUUUCUUCUUCUUAAUUUCAUCAGAUGAGGACAAUUAAAAAGUCCUUAAUUGUCUAGAAUGGGCAUGGUUUUAGCACCAAUUUAUGCCUUUAUCCUAAUGUGUCCCAUAUUUAGAGUAGCAGAUUCUUUGAGAUUUAGGGUUGUGUGAGCACAAACAACGGGUGACACUUAUUUCUGGAGAUGGUCAGUGUCAUCACCCCAGGAAGCCUCCAAGACUGAGCUCACAGCCUUAAGCCAUGAAGAGAUGGCCCCACUGUUUCUUUCUCUCCACACUCAUGUUGACAGUUCUUUCACCAUCACUCCUAUGUCAGAACUUUAUAAGUACUCAGAUAGAUGCAAGAGCAGGCACUUUAGAGGUGAAAAAAAUCAACCACAAUUAUAUGGACAUACUUGGCAAGUAAAAAUGAAAGGAAAAAAAAAAAACAGGGAGAGUAUAAAUAUGAAAAACUAAGAAUGAGAAAUAGUACCUAGCCACAGGUGUGGACUUCAAAUUUUAUAAGACAGCAUUAAGAUUAAAAUCACAUUGUGUUUAAAAAUAUCUAUGCAAGUCAUUAUUUCCCAGGGAAAAGAAAGGACCAAGAUGAAAAAGGAACAUAAAGCUUGAACAAAGUCACAGUC